GGAAUUGUGGCUCAUCGGCAGAGCGCUUGCCUCUCAAGUAUGAGGCACUGGGUUCAAUCCUCAGCACCA
rnacentral:tRNA from 1 species